AGAGUUUGAUCCUGGCUCAGGAUGAACGCUAGCGGCAGGCUUAACACAUGCAAGUCGAGGGGUAACAGAGGUAGCUUGCUACUUGCUGACGACCGGCGCACGGGUGCGUAACGCGUAUACAAUCUGCCUUAUACAGAGGGAUAGCCUUUAGAAAUGAAGAUUAAUACCUCAUGGUCUAUUAAUAUAGCAUUAUAUAAAUAGUAAAGCUUCGGCGGUAUAAGAUGAGUAUGCGUCCUAUUAGUUAGUUGGUAAGGUAACGGCUUACCAAGACAACGAUAGGUAGGGGCCCUGAGAGGGGGAUCCCCCACACUGGUACUGAGACACGGACCAGACUCCUACGGGAGGCAGCAGUGAGGAAUAUUGGACAAUGGAGGUAACUCUGAUCCAGCCAUGCCGCGUGCAGGAAGACGGCCCUAUGGGUUGUAAACCGCUUUUAUAUAGGAAGAAACCUUUUCACGUGUGAGAAGCUGACGGUACUAUAAGAAUAAGGACCGGCUAACUCCGUGCCAGCAGCCGCGGUAAUACGGAGGGUCCGAGCGUUAUCCGGAAUCAUUGGGUUUAAAGGGUCCGUAGGCGGGAAUCUAAGUCAGUGGUGAAAUCUUACAGCUCAACUGUAAAAUUGCCAUUGAUACUGGGUUUCUUGAAUUAGUGUGAAGUGAUUAGAAUGUGUAGUGUAGCGGUGAAAUGCAUAGAUAUUACACAGAAUACCAAUUGCGAAGGCAGAUCACUAACACUAUAUUGACGCUGAGGGACGAAAGCGUGGGGAGCGAACAGGAUUAGAUACCCUGGUAGUCCACGCCGUAAACGAUGGAUACUAGCUGUUCGAUCUUCGGAUUGAG
rnacentral:rRNA from 1 species